rnacentral:tRNA from 1 species
GGUUCCAUGGUAUAAUGGUGAGUGAGCACUCUGGACUCUGAAUCCAUCGAUCUGAGUUCCAGUUUUGGUGGGACCU